CAGAGGGAUUGGCAAGCUUGCGUGCCCCAGCGACACAGGCCUCGAGGCUGUCUCUGACAAGUGUUCACAGGAGGUGGGGACGCCUCUGCGCGAGGAACGAGGAGCUACGGGCCUGGGCCCGGUUAUUGCCAUGGGCAGCGGCUGCCGCAUCGAAUGCAUAUUCUUCAGCGAGUUCCACCCCACGCUGGGACCCAAGAUCACCUAUCAGGUGCCACCCGGGCUCGCGGGACUGGGCGGGGAGAGGGACGUUCUCGAGAGCUCAACUGGCUGCCUGAAGGCAGUAGUUUCCCGUGCUGCACGCAGGCAUGCUACUUCAUUCGCAGACAACUGUGAGGCUAGAGGAUAGUCAGACCCAGGCCCCCGGCUCCCAAUGUGGCAGGGAAGACAUACGUCACAUUGGCAGUGUUUGUAGGAUAUCGGGCUGUAGGGAUCCGGUUGGGGGGUUCCAGGUCCCACAGAAGGUGAGUUGGGUGACCCAUGAGUAUCCCUGAACUGAGUGAAGAGUAAAUGAUGCAUAGGAAGUUUAGAUAAGGCAGGAGAAAGUGUUCCAGGUAGAGGGAACAGCAUAUGCAGAAGCCAGGAAGGAGGUGAGAUCAUAGCGUAUGUUUGGAAACAGAAAGAAGUAAUAGGCCUGAGUGGAUGGGAGAGAGGGGAACGCUGGAGAAGAGGACUUGGGCUUGGGGGGCAUGAGGAGGUCACCAUUUGUACUACACACAGUACAGAUGUCCACUGACGGGCCCAUUGCCACUCCCCUCCCCAGGUCCCUGAAGACUUCAUCUCCCGAGAGCUGUUUGACACAGUCCAAGUGUAUAUCAUCACCAAGCCAGAGCUGCAAAACAAGCUUAUCACUGUCUAUGGAAAAGAAGCUGAUCGGCUGUCCUGUGUGCAUCGAACACAAGAAGUACAGCCGCAAUGCUCUCCUCUUCAACCUGGGCUUCGUGUGUGAUGCCCAGGCCAAGACCUGCGCCCUCGAGCCCAUUGUUAAAAAGCUGGCUGGCUAUCUGACCACACUAGAGGUCUGCAAUGAGAUGGGCUUGGGUUUACCAACAGGCAGAGUUGGGGAAGGUGUUCCCAUGUCUCCAAAGUCCCCCAAACCUGGGACCCUGCAAACCAGCUCAGGACUCAGGGCAGCCAACCAGCCAGGGGUCCUGGGAUGUGCCCACCAUGCUUUCCAUGCUCUGUCUAGCUAGAGAGCAGCUUCGUGUCCACGGAGGAGAGCAAGCAGAAGUUGGUGCCCAUCAUGACCAUCUUGCUGGAGGAGCUAAAUGCCUCAGGCCGGUGCACUCUGCCCAUUGAUGAGUCCAACACCAUCCACUUGAAGGUGAUUGAGCAGCGGCCAGACCCUCCGGUGGCCCAGGAGUAUGAUGUACCUGUCUUUACCAAAGACAAGGAGGAUUUCUUCAACUCACAGUGGGACCUCACUACACAACAAAUCCUGCCCUACAUUGAUGGGUUCCGCCACAUCCAGAAGAUUUCAGCAGAGGCAGAUGUGGAGCUCAACCUGGUGCGCAUUGCUAUCCAGAACCUGCUGUGAGUGGGCCUACAGUCAUACCUGGGACAAGGUCACCAGCCAGGGAAGACGUCAGGGGCCCUGGGUGUGAGGGUUGGGAAGGCAUGGUCCUCAGAAGCUGAGCACAGCUCUCUCUCUCAGGUACUACGGCGUUGUGACACUGGUGUCCAUCCUCCAGUACUCCAAUGUAUACUGCCCAACGCCCAAGGUCCAGGACCUGGUAGAUGACAAGUCCCUGCAGGAGGCAUGUCUAUCCUACGUGACCAAGCAAGGUAGUGGUGGGUUCUGGGGGAAGCCAUCUUGGGGAGGGCAGGGCCACAUGAUGAGCUGAUCCCUGGCACCCACAGGGCACAAGAGGGCCAGUCUCCGGGAUGUGUUCCAGCUAUACUGCAGCCUGAGCCCUGGCACUACCGUGCGAGACCUCAUUGGCCGCCACCCCCAGCAGCUGCAGCAUGUUGAUGAACGGAAGCUGAUCCAGUUCGGGCUUAUGAAGAACCUCAUCAGGCGACUACAGAAGUAUCCUGUGCGGGUGACUCGGGAAGAGCAGAGCCACCCUGCCCGGCUUUAUACAGGCUGCCACAGCUAUGACGAGAUCUGCUGCAAGACAGGCAUGAGCUACCAUGAGCUGGAUGAGCGGCUUGAAAAUGACCCCAACAUCAUCAUCUGCUGGAAGUGAGGCUGGUAGUGACUGGAUGGACACAUUGCUGUGGGUAGUCCCUCCUACUAGGAGGCUUGUCAUACUGUCUAGAGGUUGACUCUUAGUUCUGUAAAUAAAGACAUCCAUUUCAAACAGC
rnacentral:sRNA from 1 species